rnacentral:rRNA from 1 species
UACGUAGGGGGCAAGCGUUGUCCGGAUUUAUUGGGCGUAAAGAGCGUGUAGGCGGCCAUGUAGGUCCGUUGUGAAAACUCGAGGCUCAACCUCGAGACGCCGAUGGAAACCAUGUGGCUAGAGUCCGGAAGAGGAGAGUGGAAUUCCUGGUGUAGCGGUGAAAUGCGCAGAUAUCAGGAAGAACACCCGUGGCUAAGGCGGCUCUCUAGUACGGUACUGACACUGGAGGCGCGAAAGCGUGGGGAGCGAACAGG